rnacentral:rRNA from 1 species
AGAUUGCAGGCUGCAACUCGCCUGCAUGAAGUCGGAAUUGCUAGUAAUCGCAGAUCAGCAUGCUGCGGUGAAUACGUUCCCGGGCCUUGUACACACCGCCCGUCACACCAUGGGAGUCGGUAACACCCGAAGUCGGUAGCCUAACCGUAAGGAGGGCGCCGCCAAGGUGGGAUUGAUGACUGGGGUGAAGUCGUAACAAGGUAGC